rnacentral:rRNA from 1 species
AUUGAACGCUGGCGGCAUGCCUUACACAUGCAAGCCGAACGGCAGCGGGGGAGAAGCUUGCUUUUCCUGCCGGCGAGUGGCGAACGGGUGAGUAAUACAUCGGAACGUGCCCUGUAGUGGGGGAUAACUAGUCGAAAGAUUAGCUAAUACCGCAUACGACCUGAGGGUGAAAGUGGGGGACCGCAAGGCCUCAUGCUAUAGGAGCGGCCGAUGUCUGAUUAGCUAGUUGGUGGGGUAAAGGCCUACCAAGGCGACGAUCAGUAGCUGGUCUGAGAGGACGAACAGCCACACUGGGACUGAGACACGGCCCAGACUCCUACGGGAGGCAGCAGUGGGGAAUUUUGGACAAUGGGCGAAAGCCUGAUCCAGCAAUGCCGCGUGUGUGAAGAAGGCCUUCGGGUUGUAAAGCACUUUUGUCCGGAAAGAAAUGGCUCUGGUUAAUACCUGGGGUCGAUGACGGUACCGGAAGAAUAAGGACCGGCUAACUACGUGCCAGCCGCCGCCGUAA